GGCAUGGGUGAGUGGGACCCAGGCCUAUUACCCGGCCAGAGGGUUUGGGGGCCUCUCUCCUGGAAGCCUGCUCUUUCCACACCCCCUUUCCCAGCCAGGCUGUCUUGGACACUCCCGGGGCUCCGCUGAGGGGCACAUGAUUCCCGCUUUGGACUUCUUUUGAGAUGUCAUUUUAACACUGAGGCAUCCUGGCCUCCCUUCCCGGAAGAUGGGUUAUUUGCAGUGCUGUCUUUUCUUUUAGUCCCGGUUUUUG
rnacentral:misc_RNA from 1 species